GGAUUUCAAGAACACCUUGAAUCCAUUGUUCUAAGUAGGGCAAGUGGUAAAAACCUGACACAGGAACUGUAGUCUUAUGUACACAAAAUACCCUCUCCUCUGAAAGAUUCUAAAAUAGAAUUUGGAAUGACCCCAUGAUCAAAUCGUGAUACGGGCUUUACUGAAUCCCAUCCAUAAAAAAUGCAGUGAACAUAUGAAUUGUCAACCAUCUGUUAAUAUCUGUAACCCGAAGAUCCAGACUGUGGGGGUGCAGGCGGCAACCGAUUAGGAGUACGACGGCCGCUCGAGUUUGAACUGGUGUUUAGAUCACCAUUCUGUGCUGAGUCAUUGUAACGCCGAUUGUGACCAUUAGAUGAAGAUCUGGAUGAUCUAGAUGAAACAUAGUCCACAGAACCAUUGGCAGCUGCAUCAAAU
rnacentral:misc_RNA from 1 species